UACAGAGGUCCCAAGCGUUGUUCGGAUUCACUGGGCGUAAAGGGUGCGUAGGCGGUCAUUUAAGUCUGACGUGAAAUCUCCGGGCCUAACCCGGAAACUGCGUUGGAAACUAUCUGACUAGAGGAAUGGAGGGGAGACUGGAAUACUUGGUGUAGCAGUGAAAUGCGUAGAUAUCAAGUGGAACACCAGUGGCGAAGGCGAGUCUCUGGACAUUUCCUGACGCUGAGGCACGAAAGCCAGGGGAGCGAACAGG
rnacentral:rRNA from 1 species